CCCGCCCCGGGGGCCGCCGCCACCUGCCUCCCACCAGGGCUCUGAAGAGAAUCCACAAGGAAUUGAAUGAUCUGGCACGGGACCCUCCAGCACAGUGUUCAGCAGGUCCUGUUGGAGAUGAUAUGUUCCAUUGGCAAGCUACAAUAAUGGGGCCAAAUGACAGUCCCUAUCAGGGUGGAGUAUUUUUCUUAACAAUUCAUUUCCCAACAGAUUACCCUUUCAAACCACCUAAGGUUGCAUUUACAACAAGAAUUUAUCAUCCAAAUAUUAACAGUAAUGGCAGCAUUUGUCUUGAUAUUCUACGGUCACAGUGGUCUCCAGCACUAACUAUUUCAAAAGUACUCUUGUCCAUCUGUUCUCUGUUGUGUGAUCCCAAUCCAGAUGAUCCUUUAGUGCCUGAGAUUGCUCGGAUCUACAAAACAGAUAAAGUACAACAGAAUAGCUCGGGAAUGGACUCAGAAGUAUGCGAUGUAAUUAAAGAAAUUAUUGGAUAACCUCCACAAAUAAAGAUAGGGGAACUCUGAAAGAGAAAGUCCUUUUGAUUUCCAUUUGACUGCUUUCUAUGAGCCCACGCCUCAUCUUCCCCUGUGCACAUGUUUACCUGAUACAGCAGUGCUGCGUGUUGUACAUACUUGGAACAACAAACUAGAAAUACUGUACUUCUGUACCAACAUUGCUUCCUAGCAGAGAAGUGUGUGUGACAAGCCAGUUCUACAGGCAUUACCUAGGUGUGAGACUAAAAGCUUUUCUUAUUGACUUAAAUUUGGAUAACAGCAGGGUGUGAGGGGGGUGGUGGGUAUGGUGUGUGCUUGGAUGGGAAAGAAAAGGCUCCACUCACCUGUAGCAGAUUAUUUUUAAGUGGAAUCCAUUUAAAC